GUGGCUGCAUGUGCUCGCUCGCUCUUUAAUCCAUUUUCACAUGUGCACCUAAAUUAUUAUUUUUUGGAGGUCUGGCUUUGAGAGAGGGCCUAGCCUUUGGAAAGUUUUUAUAAACUCUUAUUUAAUGUAACUGGAUGUUUAUCUGCCGAAAGGCAAUAAUUACAACUUUUAACAACGGAUCUCUUGGCUCUCGCAUCGAUGAAGAACGCAGCGAAAUGCGAUAAGUAAUGUGAAUUGCAGAAUUCAGUGAAUCAUCGAAUCUUUGAACGCACCUUGCACUCUCUGGUAUUCCGGAGAGUACGCCUGUUCGAGUGUCAUGAGACUCUCAAGCAGAGAAAGCUUUCUCUGCUUGGAAUUGGACUCUGCUGUGUGUAAAUGCGGCUAGUCUUAAAUGGAUUAGCUAGUCCUUGUGCAGAAUUUGGUUCUACUCAGCGUGAUAAUUAUCUGGCGUUGAGGACAGUCUCUAGGACUGGCCAGAGCGCAUGUAUUUGGAUUGCUUCUAAUUAAUUGUCCUCGGACAAAAUUUUAUCUUAAUGAUCUGACCUCGAAUCAGGUGGGAUUACCCGCUGAACUUAAGCAUAUCAAUAA
rnacentral:rRNA from 1 species